rnacentral:rRNA from 1 species
GAUGAACGCUAGCGGCAGGCCUAACACAUGCAAGUCGAGGGGUAGAGGAAGCUUGCUUCCUUGAGACCGGCGCACGGGUGCGUAACGCGUAUGCAAUCUACCUUUUACAGAGGGAUAGCCCAGAGAAAUUUGGAUUAAUACCUCAUAGUAUAUAUCAUUCGCAUGUUUGGUAUAUUAAAGUUCCAACGGUAAAAGAUGAGCAUGCGUCCCAUUAGUUAGUUGGUAAGGUAACGGCCUACCAAGACGAUGAUGGGUAGGGGUCCUGAGAGGGAGAUCCCCCACACUGGUACUGAGACACGGACCAGACUCCUACGGGAGGCAGCAGUGAGGAAUAUUGGUCAAUGGACGCAAGUCUGAACCAGCCAUGCCGCGUGCAGGAAGACGGUCCUAUGGAUUGUAAACUGCUUUUGUACGGGAAGAAACACUCCUACGUGUAGGAGCCUGACGGUACCGUAAGAAUAAGGAUCGGCUAACUCCGUGCCAGCCGCCGCCGUAAUAC